GGGGCGGUAGCUCAGUUGGUUAGAGUACCUGCCUGUCACGCAGGGGGUCGCGAGUUCGAGUCUCGUCCGCCCCGCCA
rnacentral:tRNA from 1 species